AGCGCAUCCUUCGGGAUGAGCGGCGGACGGGUGAGUAACGCGUGGGAAUGUACCCUUCUCUACGGAAUAGCCACUGGAAACGGUGAGUAAUACCGUAUACGCCCUCAGGGGGAAAGAUUUAUCGGAGAAGGAUCAGCCCGCGUUAGAUUAGGUAGUUGGUGGGGUAACGGCCUACCAAGCCUACGAUCUAUAGCUGGUUUUAGAGGAUGAUCAGCCACACUGGGACUGAGACACGGCCCAGACUCCUACGGGAGGCAGCAGUAGGGAAUCUUGGACAGUGGGGGCAACCCUGAUCCAGCCAUGCCGCGUGAGUGAAGAAGGCCCUAGGGUCGUAAAGCUCUUUCGCCUGUGAUGAUAAUGACAGUAGCAGGUAAAGAAACCCCGGCUAACUCCGUGCCAGCAGCCGCGGUAAUACGGAGGGGGUUAGCGUUGUUCGGAAUUACUGGGCGUAAAGCGCGCGUAGGCGGAUUGGAAAGUUGGGGGUGAAAUCCCGGGGCUCAACCCCGGAACUGCCUUCAAAACUCCCAGUCUAGAGUUCGAGAGAGGUGAGUGGAAUUCCGAGUGUAGAGGUGAAAUUCGUAGAUAUUCGGAAGAACACCAGUGGCGAAGGCGGCUCACUGGCUCGAUACUGACGCUGAGGUGCGAAAGUGUGGGGAGCAAACAGGAUUAGAUACCCUGGUAGUCCACACC
rnacentral:rRNA from 1 species